rnacentral:rRNA from 1 species
GUGUCAGCCGCCGCGGUAAUACGUAGGGUGCGAGCGUUAAUCGGAAUUACUGGGCGUAAAGCGAGCGCAGGCGGUUCUGUAAGUCAGAUGUGAAAUCCCCGGGCUCAACCUGGGAACUGCGUUUGAAACUACAGGGCUAGAGUAUGGGAGAGGGGGGUAGAAUUCCACGUGUAGCAGUGAAAUGCGUAGAGAUGUGGAGGAAUACCAAUGGCGAAGGCAGCCCCCUGGCCUAAUACUGACGCUCAUGCUCGAAAGCGUGGGGAGCAAACAGGAUUAGAAACCCCCGUAGUCC